CCAAAGAUGGAAGCCACUGGCUUAAGGCCAUUGCCCACCUGAUACAGUGCGUAACACAAAGCACUGCUACAGCAGGGAUUGCAGGUUUCCAGCUGGAGAGCAGAUGACGAGAGUGGAUUUUAUUUCUGGGCAGAUGUCUGCUGAUGAUACUCCACUUUAAUAACGUGUCUGAAAUUUGGUUUGAAGCCGCAUGUGUCAUUGAACUGUUGAUAACAUAAGCAAGCAAGGACUGUACACAGGAGGGCAAAAGCUACAAUUAAUCAGGAAAUUAAGGAGAUUUGUCCUUCAGCAUACUGUGGGGCAGACACACCUCUAUAAGCCAGUGUUCAUGAAGAUCCAAACGACAUGCUCGCAGAUGUGGCUGUAGCUCCUAAUGACCACCAGAGGAUGCUAAAAGGAAAAUCAUAACAUGAGGAACAAAAGAACAAAUGAGAGCAGGUGCUGCAAAUGUGUGUGAAACUCCAUUUUUUAAUAUUGUCAUCGUAACUCAAUUUAUUAAUAUUGUUCUCCAUAUUACAAGCCUGAUUUCAUCCACUGGAAGUGAAUUCUGUGCUACAAGGCAAUUCUGCACCUUCCCCAUUAAUAGAUGUCUCAACAGCUUUUACACAGCCAGUUUUGGCCCCUGGUAAUAUUAAACCCAACGAGAAUAACAGAAAUGUAUGAAUUAUAGUUUUAAAAAAAGCUUUGUUUGUCUUAAUUGGCCACUGUUUAAAAACUUUCACCGGGGUGGGACCGCUCAGGUCACUGGGGUAGUACUCUCAAGGGUAUUCAGUAUUUUUAGCUUAAU